AGGACGAACGCUGGCGGCGUGCUUAACACAUGCAAGUCGAGCGGAAAGGCCCUUCGGGGUACUCGAGCGGCGAACGGGUGAGUAACACGUGAGCAACCUGCCCUGGACUUUGGGAUAACCCUCGGAAACGGGGGCUAAUACCGAAUAUUACUUCUGGUCGCAUGACUGGUGGUGGAAAGUUUUUCGGUCUGGGAUGGGCUCGCGGACUAUCAGCUUGUUGGUGGGGUGAUGGCCUACCAAGGCGACGACGGUUA
rnacentral:rRNA from 1 species